GCAUCUGAGAUUUUAAGGCACCCGUAUAUGCAGCCAUAUGUUGAUCAAUACCAAAAAUGUUCUAAUCCACCUAGUGCCUGUUCACCAGAGAAACCAAUCUCCAAUGCACAUCAUGCUCACAAGAGCUUUGCUGAAAGCCAAAGCUGCAACAGUUCUAGCAAUGAUAAAGAUAUGGCUUCAACUGAUGAUGAAAUGGACUAUGAGCAGCCUUUUAGGUAAUAAACAUGGUAAUGAUAGACCAACUGUCAAAACAGAUGAGGAUGUGAUGAAACCUUUUCAUGAUGCACAGAGGCCCAAAGUUGAAUCAAAGCAACCAAAAACCAUUAAGAAUAUCCGAAUGGAUCUGAAAGAAGAGGGAAAAGUUAAAGAAAACAGGUAACCCAAUGAGGGGCAACCAUUUAAAGGCUGGAGGUGUAUUAAGAAAACAGGUAACCCAAUGAGGGGCAACUAUUUAAAGGCUGGAGGUGUAUUGAGGCAAAAAUCUAACAUAGAAGCAUCCCUCAAAACUCCCAAAUCCAGUGCUUUUCCGUCUGGUUUCAAGCCUAAUGCAGAGAAAGCAGCUGUUGGGGCAGCAAAGGGAAACACUGAUUAUGUGCAACAAGUUGCUAGAUGACAUCCUUUGGAGUUCCUCUCAAUAUUACUUUUUAUCUUCUUUUCUUGACAUCCAAACACAGUGAAGUUUUCUUAUUUGACCAACUCCACCUGAUUAUUGCAGAAUCGAAAUGGAUUGGAAUGAGGCCGUCACAAGUCUCAACUGAACCAAAUAUGCAAUCCAAAGAAGUUCUACAAUCAACAAGAAGCAACAAUGAAUAGUGAAGGUAGACGUAGAGAUUUCAUAGAUUCUAAAAAAAAACAAAAUCUUAUCAGUAGUAUCGAGGAGGAACUCGAAUCCAAGCUAGGGUUUGAUCUAUUUUGGAAGGUGAAAAGAUGCUCGGAUUGUUGGUCACUCUUGCAUCUGAAAAGAUGAAAAUAGAUGUUGAGGCAUAUCUGAGGCAACGAUAUGAAGGAUGAUUGCUGAUAUGGUUAUGGAGAAAGUAUUUUCAUCUUUUUAUUUCUACAGGACCAUCUAAUUAUAUUGGAUCAAUCCAUGUGGUUGGAUGAUAUGGCUGGACUGAUAAGUAAGAUAAACCAUUCAUCCAUGGGUCCUUUACCUACAUGCUAUUCCUUAACAUUGAAAUCACUUAUCAAGAGCAUACUGAGGGAGAACCCAGAGCAUCGGCUAAGUAUGGGACAUAUUUUAUGGAAGUGGAUCAGCUGCUUCUACCAGGUGGAUAUUUUGUUGUCUUUGGUCCUCCUGUACAAUGGCCUAAACAUGAUAAAUAAUGAACGGUCCUGCAGGCCCUAACAAGAACCUUGUGUUAUGAGUUGAUUGUAGUAGACGGGAAUACAGUCAUCUAGAAAAAUCCUUCAACUGAUUCAUGUGUCCCAAUCCAAAAUGAAGUUGGGCUUGAAUUUUUUGAUGACUCAGAUGAACCAAGCUAUGCAUGGUGUGAACCUUUUUCAACGUAUCCUCGAACUGAUGAUUUUAUACAUGUAUCCAAUAUUAUAAGACAUUCUGGUUCCAGAAAUUUAACAUAGAAGUAUAUUUAACCCUUGACUCACUUACAAUGAGAGGCAACCGCUUAAAGGCUGGGGGUGUAUCGAGCUAAAAAUUUAACGUAGAAGCAUUGCCCAGAAUUCUCAAAUCCAGUGCUACUCCUUCUAGUUUCAAGCCUAAUGCAGAGAAAACAGCUUUUGGGGCAGCAAAGGGGAACAUUGAUUCUGUGAAACGAGUCGCUGGAUCACAUCUUUGGAGUUCCGCUCAAUAUUAUUUUUUCUCUUCUUUUCUUGACAUCCAAACACUGAAGGUUUUCUUAGUUGACCAACUCAACCCGAUUAUUGCAAAAACGAAAUGGAUUGGAGUGUGGCCAUCACGGGUCUUGACUGAACAAGAGAUGCUGUCUAUAGAAGUUAUACGAUCAAAAGGAAGCAACAAUGAAGAGAAGGUAGAUGUAGAGAGUUCAUAGAUUCUAGAAAGAAACAAUACCUUAUCUGCAACGCCAAGAAGGAACUCGAAUCCAAGCUAGGGUUUGAUCUAUUUUGUAAGGUGAAAAGACACUUGGAUAGUUGGUCAUUCUUGCAUCUAUGAGUGGUUUCAUACAAUGAUACAAUACUUGAUUCCUCAUUGCCGCCUAAUCCUGUUCUGAUUCAUUAUAUUAGUUGUAUUGAUUUGUCCUUUUCUACGCAUUUGAAAGCUCUUAUUCAUAUUCAGUUCACAGGUUAUAUUGAUGACGUGGUUCUUUCUUAAGAUGCAGUUGCGUUGGCGUAUACUCAGUUCAUAAUUCU